CCUUUUGCUGAUUGAAGUAGAUGGCAAAUGGUUGUUGAAAUCAAGAAUUGAAGUGCGAAUGAAGAUGCGUAGCUGGAGAAUUAUACAUGGCUAGGAAGAAGCUAUUUCCAGCAGUGUCAUUAAGUUGACGGCAGAUAAAGACUCUGGUGGCGUGGCAUGCCAACAUGUCUCUGAAACAAACAAAAAUUUGCUUGCCGGCAAUUUAUACCAUACACUCCGGCGUAUGACUCUACGUGCGCCCAGUUGCAAUACGACGUCGCAUGACACUGUGAUUGCGCAACAGCAGGUGGCGGAGACAGAGGAAUUCAAUGAUCCGGUUGGAUUGGCAGAUACAGAAAAUGUUAAUCCAGUUAUGUACGUAGACCGUAGCAGCAGAAUGAAGUCAAGAUGACGACUCCAUCGACGACUGAAGGGACGAGCGACUUCUUCGAACUUCUUCUACGAACGAGCUGGACGAAAUCAAUUGAAGCCAAGAGUAAUUGGAGCCUAGUUUGUUAAAUUUCUCUGGUUAGAAAAAUAAAUAUUAUUUAUUUUCUAGAUUUUAUGUGGUUUAAGAUAUGAAUUUAAUUUGUGAAUGUUAGGAAAAUUAGGGUUAUUUUGAGUUGAUUAGGGAGCUAGAACUAGUAUAAAUAGGCUGAAUUUUCAGUAGAAGUCAGUCAGUCAGUUCAGAGAACAAUUUUAUUUUCUGU